AGGCACUGUGCCAGGCACUGGAGAUACAACAGUAAACAGAGUCCUACCAUCAUAAACGUACAUUCUCGAGGGGGAGGCGGAAGGCAGUAAACAAAUAAAUAUGUACUAUAUCAGAGAGUCUGUCAGGAUACGCUAGCUAUUUGGGGGCAAUAAUCAACCCAAUGUAUCGGUGGCUUCAAACAACAGUGUCUCCCUUAUACUGCAUGUUCAUUGCAUGUCAGCUGGGGGCUGUGUGCACCUUUACUCUGAAGCCCAGGCUGCCUGGAGAACCAUCCACUGGAGUAUGGCUAGACUCCAGGGGAGAGGGAGAAGAUAGAGUGGUGAAUUGUACACUGGAUCUUAAAGCUUAUGCCUGAAAGUGACACAUGGCACUUCUCACAUGUCCCUGGACAAAGCAAGUCACAUGGCUGCGUCCAACUUCAAAAGGCUAAUGAGAAAAGAACUGGGCCGACUGAACACACAGAUGAUGCGUUCAUGCAAAGUGAAGGCCAAAGGCCUCAUGGCACCAGCAUAAAUGAAGUUUUACAGUCGUUCAAAGAGAAAAAUGGAGAGAAAAUUGAGUCAUUACAGGUCUCAUGGUAGCAUGAGUUGGAUUCAAAAGAAACUAGGCAAAUCAGUCACUUAAUUCAGAUUAUAAGCAGAUGUGUUGGUUUGAUUCUGUGUUUUUAUGACAUACCAGCUUGCAAACAUUCUCCACGAAGAACUUUUUGUUAGCUUUUUUAAAAAAAUGAUCUAUCAAUACCACAUUUUGGAGAGAAACAUUUUAAAAUCAGCUGGACCAAUUAAAAUAAACAGCUGAUAGUUUCAAAUGAGUAACCUGAGGGGCGCCUGGGUGACUCAGUUGCUUAAGCGUGGGACUUCAGCUUAGGUCUUGAUCUCAAGGCUUGUGGGUUCGAGCCCUGCCUUGGACUCUGUGCUAAGAGCUCAGAGCCUGGAGCCUGCUUUGGAUUCUGUGUCUCCCUCUCUCUCUGCCCCAUCCCCGCUCACGCUUUCUCUCUCUCAAAAAGAAGUAAACAUUAAAAAAAUGAGUAACCUGAUGGGAGGAAAAAUUGUAACAAUGAUAACAAUUGUGAGUCAAAGACUGUCCAUCACGUUCCACAAAUACUUAAGUCAACAAUUGAAAGAUAAAGUGCAUAAAAGCAUCUCCUUAUGCUUUUUUAAUUACAUGUAUAAAUUAAACCUAACAUUGGUUAUUUAGUUUCAGCAAACUGUUACCAUUUUCAUACUAAAUUAUUUUUUUAUUUGAA